GACGAACCGUGCGAACGUUGUUCGGAAUCACUGGGCUUAAAGGGCGCGUAGGCGGUCUGCCAAGUCAGGGGUGAAAUCCUGCAGCUCAACUGUAGAAGUGCCUUUGAUACUGGUAGACUCGAGGGAGAUAGGGGUGGGUGGAACUUCUGGUGGAGCGGUGAAAUGCGUUGAUAUCAGAAGGAACGCCGGUGGCGAAAGCGACCCACUGGAUCUUUUCUGACGCUGAGGCGCGAAAGCUAGGGGAGCAAACGGG
rnacentral:rRNA from 1 species